GACGGAGGAGGCAAGCGUUCUCCGGAAUUAUUGGGCGUAAAGCGUGCGUAGGUGGCUGACCAAGUCUGCUGUCAAAGGGUGGGGCUUAACCUCAUAAAGGCCGUGGAAACUGGUGAGCUAGAGUGCGGUAGGGGUAAGGGGAAUGCCCACUGUAGCGGUGAAAUGCGUAGAGAUUGGGCAGAACAUCGGUUGCGAAAGCGCCUUGCUGGGCUUGCACUGACACUGAGGCACGAAAGUUAGGGGAGCGAAGUGG
rnacentral:rRNA from 1 species